rnacentral:rRNA from 1 species
AUGGCGCAGAUAACAACCAUCUUAGGGGUGGUGAUGGCGGCCACAGCGGUGGUGAUGCUGACGCCGCCGCUCCUUGCUGGAGCAGAAGUUUCUCCGGUGGAGGCGCAAGGGAUGCCCAAUUGCGACAUCGCCUGCGGCAACAUGAGUGUGCCGUACCCGUUUGGCAUGGGCCCGGCCAGGUGCUACUGGCCGGGGUUCCAGCUCACCUGCAACCGCACAAGCGACCCGCCGCGGUUGCUGCUCGGCGACGGCACCCUCCAAGUCCAAGAGCUCUCCCUCGUGCCGACAUUUGUGGCCGUCAUACGUACCGGUGACAUAAAAGUCGACGGCAAUGGUGAAGGAACGCUGGGCGGUGGCCUUACAGCCGACGGGCCCUACACGAUUUCAUCCAACCAGCUCAUCGUGACGGGCUGCAAUGUUCAAGCGACGCUCAAGAAUGGUGAUGUGACUGUGAGCAGCUGUUCUUCUAUCUGCAUAAACAGUGAUGGACUCUCCGAGGCGCUAUCCACACUCGAAGAAGGCAGGCAAUGCACCGGCAAUGGCUGCUGCCAGUCGGACACUGUCUUCGACCCUGCGGAUGUAGCAGGAAGGCUUGUCCACAACACGUCCUAUGACGUGCAGUUCAAAUGGUUUGGCUGGAACCGCAGCAGGGACCAGCAGUGUCCUGCGCACGUCUUUGUGGCGAGGCCCAGCUGGUUCAGUCGUGAAGCGGUUUUCAGUGAGCUGUUACGAACAGAAGCGGCUGCGUCAGCAGAUGCAAUGGAAGUUCCCUUUUGGCUGGACUUGGAGGUCGUUGCCUCGUUGGCCAUGGCGCACAAUGCUCAAACGUCUGCAAGAGCAAGCACAGCGACUGCGGAAAGGGUAACAGAGGCUACACAUGCUUCUGCAAAGAUGGCUACCAAGGGAAUCCCUACAUCACUGACGGAUGCAAAGAUAUCGACGAGUGCAACGAUGAACGCUACCCUAAGUGCUAUGGUGAUUGUACCAAUUUGGAUGGAUCAUAUCAUUGCCGGUGCCCGCCAGGAAGCCAUGGCGACCCCGUGCAUGGUGGCUGCAUCAGUUCAGUCUCAGGGAUCAGCAUCGUUCACUCCAAAUUUUGACAUCAAAAGUGAAGGUAACUGCAGAAGAUCCUGCGGUGAUGUAGACGUGCCAUAUCCCUUCGGCAUUGGCUCUGUCGAUUGCUACUGGCCAGGAUUGGAGCUCACCUGUGAUACAAGACAACAACCAGCAAAGCUAGUCCUCGCCCUUGGGAUGGCCGGCACCUUCGACGUCAAGGAGAUCUCCCUCCAGAACAACACGAAUGCAUGCCCUCCUCACCAACGCCAUCGCCAUGACACCGAGGAUUUCAUCAGCGGUUGUGCCUCAUUCUGCCCCCAAAACGUUAGUGACACCUACGUUGAGAUGGCACUGCAGCGUAGUGGUAGAAACUGCUACGGCAUGGGCUGCUGCCAGGCGCGUAUCUCCAUGUCCUCCAACGGCUUGCCCAUGACAUUGAAAUAUCAAACGCUCAACAAGAACGGCGACCAGGAGUUGACGUCGCAGCCCGCGUACAUGCUAAUCGCACAGGAGGGGUGGUUCGAUCAGCGCCGGUUCUCCAAGAAGAUGGCGGGGCGGGAGGAAUCUGAAACAGCCAACGUGCAGGCGAAUCCGAGCUGUCCAGCGGAGGUAGCCCAGAAGCUCUGCAAGAGCAAGAACAGCUACUGCAAACGAGGGAGCCGAGGUUAUUUAUGCCAGUGCAUGGAUGGCUACGACAAGCAGGUUUUACCUCCAGGUGGCCCCAAGCCCUUAUCUAUAGGUAUAUACCUCGGCAUAGGAGUUGCUGUUGGCGCAGGCAUCAUACUAUUUCUUCUCGCUGGAUCCUUUGCACAUAAGAAAUUCAAACAUCGAAGAUCGCUGAUGUUGAAAAAGAACUUUGAAAAAACCCGAGGACAAUUGUUGCAACAAUUGGUAUCACAAAGAGCUAAUAUUGCAGAAAGAAUGAUUAUAACUUUAGACGAGCUUGAGAAAGCAACAAACAAAUUUGAUAAAGCUCGUGAGCUUGGUGGCGGUGGGCAUGGUACAGUUUACAAAGGGAUCUUAUCAGAUCUCCAUGUUGUAGCCAUCAAGAAACCAAAGGCGGCGAUUCAAAAGGAGAUUGAUGAAUUCAUUAAUAAGGUUGCUAUCCUAUCACAAAUCAACCAUAGAAAUGUUGUAAAACUCUAUGGUUGUUGCCUUGAAACAGAAGUCCUCAUGUUGGUCUAUGAGUUUAUAUCCAACGGUACCCUUUGUGAUGAUCUCCAUGUUGAUGGACCAAGUUCAUUGGGUCAUGGAAUGAUAGGCUAA